rnacentral:rRNA from 1 species
GACGAACGCUGGCGGCGUGCCUAAUACAUGCAAGUCGAGCGAAUCUUUUGGGAGCUUGCUCCCAAAAGAUUAGCGGCGGACGGGUGAGUAACACGUGGGCAACCUGCCUAUAAGACUGGGAUAACUUCGGGAAACCGGAGCUAAUACCGGAUACGUUCUUUUCUCGCAUGAGAGAAGAUGGAAAGACGGCUUCUAGCUGUCACUUAUAGAUGGGCCCGCGGCGCAUUAGCUAGUUGGUGGGGUAAUGGCUCACCAAGGCGACGAUGCGUAGCCGACCUGAGAGGGUGAUCGGCCACACUGGGACGGAGACACGGCCCAGACUCCUACGGGAGGCAGCAGUAGGGAAUCUUCCGCAAUGGACGAAAGUCUGACGGAGCAACGCCGCGUGAACGAAGAAGGCCUUCGGGUCGUAAAGUUCUGUUGUUAGGGAAGAACAAGUACUAGAGUAACUGCUGGUACCUUGACGGUACCUAACCAAAAAGCCACGGCUAACUACGUGCCAGCCGCCGCAGUAAGAC